UAAAGCCUCGCUCCUCAAGUCCCCCGUUGCCUGAAGAGAAGCCAGCCCCCGGGCAGUGGCCUCCUCAGGGAAGCGGGCAGCCCAUCAGCGGCUCUGCCUGUACUCCCGAGACUGCAGGAGAGGCAAAUCAGGUCAAACGCUGGCCCUCGGCCCGGCCCAGAGGGAAGUUCCUGCACUGAGAGAAAUGGAGGGAAACUGCCCCUCACCCAGGCCUGCCGUUCUGCGCCCUAAGGAGAGAGAACCCCACAGCCUCAUGCUCUUCCUGGGGCGCCCUGUGAGGUGUCUACCCGGGAUGUGGACAUCCAGCUACAAUUCGUGGUUUCAUUUGACUUCCGUGGAGUCCAAGCAUGUGGUUUCCAGGCUUCUGCCAGGCGCCGGACACCCGCAGCCCCAGCCCAGAUGCCACCCUGAGCUCUGGGAAUGGCAGAUGCUGGGCCCCUCGAAGGGGGAGGCUGUGUGGAGGCUGGCCCUCUCCCUGGGCCAGAGCAGCUGGAACUCCACAAGCGGGAGAGCCAGGCCCGGAGCCCCAGGAAAACUCGGUGGGAAAGACUUCAGGGCGCUGCCCUGAACAAUGACGACGAUCCCAGCUCUGAGGUCUGGCCACAGUCCUAAAACCAGCUUCCCAAUCUCUGGCCCCCUCUCUUUCUCCCUCCUUCCUGAACACGAGAAGACGGCAUCUCCCCCUGCUGGGGGGAGCGGGAA